rnacentral:rRNA from 1 species
AAACUGUGAAGCUUGAGGCUGGGAGAGGAAAUCGGAAUUCCUGGUGUAGCGGUGAAAUGCGUAGAUAUCAGGAGGAACACCGGUGGCGAAGGCGGAUUUCUGGACCAGUUCUGACACUGAUGAGCGAAAGCCAGGGGAGCAAACAGGAUUAGAUACCCUGGUAGUCCUGGCUGUAAACGAUGGGCACUAGGUGUGGGAGGAUCGACCCCUUCCGUGCCGCAGUUAACGCAUUAAGUGCCCCGCCUGGGGAGUACGACCGCAAGGUUGAAACUCAAAGGAAUUGACGGGGGGGCACAAGCCAGGGGGUGGCGACUGUUUAUCAAAAACACAGGGCUCUGCGAAGCCGCAAGGCUACGUAUAGGGUCUGACUCCUGCCCGGUGCCGGAAGGUUAAAGAGAGGUGUGCAAGCAUCGAACUGAAGCCCCGGUGAACGGCGGCCGUAACAAUAACGGUCCUAAGGUAGCGAAAUUCCUUGUCGGGUAAGUUCCGACCUGCACGAAUGGAGUAACGACUUCCCCGCUGUCUCCAGCAUAGACUCAGUGAAAUUGAAUUCCCCGUGAAGAUGCGGGGUUCCCGCGGUUAGACGGAAAGACCCUGUGAACCUUAACUAUAACUUCGCAGUGGCGUUAUCGGUGGUUUGUGUAGGAUAGGCGGGAGGCUAUGAAGCAUGGGCGCCAGCUCGUGUGGAGCCAACGUUGAAAUACCGCCCUAAUCUUCGGUGACGUCUAACCUCGGUCCGUAAUCCGGAUCAGGGACCCUGCGUGGCGGGUAGUUUGACUGGGGCGGUCGCCUCCCAAAGAGUAACGGAGGCGCGCGAUGGUAGGCUCAGGACGGUCGGAAAUCGUCCGCUGAGUGCAAUGGCAUAAGCCUGCCUGACUGCGAGACUGACAAGUCGAGCAGAGACGAAAGUCGGCCAUAGUGAUCCGGUGAUUCUGUGUGGAAGGGUCAUCGCUCAACGAAUAAAAGGUACUCCGGGGAUAACAGGCUGAUGAUGCCCAAGCGUCCAUAGCGACGGCAUCGUUUGGCACCUCGAUGUCGGCUCAUCACAUCCUGGGGCUGGAGCAGGUCCCAAGGGUAUGGCUGUUCGCCAUUUAAAGUGGUACGUGAGCUGGGUUCAGAACGUCGUGAGACAGUUUGGUCCCUAUCUGCCGUGGGUGUUGGAAACUUGAGAGGAUUUGUCCCUAGUACGAGAGGACCGGGAUGAACAUACCUCUGGUGGACCAGUCGUGACGCCAGUCGCGCAGCUGGGUAGCUAUGUAUGGUCGGGAUAACCGCUGAAAGCAUCUAAGCGGGAAACCCACCUCAAAACCAGGUUUCCCUGAGAGCCGUGAUAGACUAUCACGUCGAUAGGCCGGGUGUGGAAGAUCCGCGAGGGUCGUAGCUUACCGGUACUAAUUGCUCA